AGGAGUGUAGCUCAACUGGCAGAGCGACGGUCUCCAAAACCGUAGGUUCGGGGUUCAAGUCCUCGCACUCCUG
rnacentral:tRNA from 1 species